GACUCAGUAGCUCAGCUGGUAGAGCAACAGACUCUUAAUCUGUGGGUCCAGGGUUCGAUCCCCUGCUGGGUCACCA
rnacentral:tRNA from 1 species